rnacentral:rRNA from 1 species
GCGAGGUGGAGCAAAACUUCAAAAAUGGUCUCAGUUCGGACUGUAGGCUGCAACUCGCCUACACGAAGUUGGAAUUGCUAGUAAUCGUGGAUCAGCAUGCCACGGUGAAUACGUUCCCGGGCCUUGUACACACCGCCCGUCACACCAUGAGAGCCGAUAACACCCGAAGCCUGUGAGCUAACUUAUAGAGGCAGCAGUCGAAGGUAGAAUCAAUGAUUGGGGUGAAGUCGUAACAAGGUAAC